UACGGGGGGGGCAAGCGUUGUUCGGAAUUACUGGGCGUAAAGGGUUGUAGGCGGCCAACUAAGUCCGACGUGAAAUCCCAAGGCUUAACCUUGGAACUGCGUCGGAUACUGGAUGGCUUGAAUUCGGGAGAGGGAUGCAGAAUUCCAGGUGUAGCGGUGAAAUGCGUAGAUAUCUGGAGGAAUACCGGUGGCGAAGGCGGCAUCCUGGACCGACAUUGACGCUGAAAACCGAAAGCUAGGGGAGCAAACGGG
rnacentral:rRNA from 1 species